ACGUAGGACGCAAGCGUUAUCCGGAAUUACUGGGCGUAAAGCGCGUGUAGGUGGUUGUGUAAGUCACUGUUGAAAGCUCCCGGCUAAACUGGGAGAGGUGCGGUGAGACUGCAUGGCUAGAGUAUGGGAGAGGGAUGCAGAAUUCCGGGUGUAGUGGUGAAGUGCGUAGAGAUCCGGAGGAAUACCAGAGGCGAAGGCGGCAUCCUGGCCUAAAACUGACACUGAGACGCGAAAGCAUGGGGAGCGAACGGGA
rnacentral:rRNA from 1 species